rnacentral:rRNA from 1 species
CAGGCCUAACACAUGCAAGNUCGAACGCUUUGUGGUUCAACUGAUAUGAAGAGCUUGCUCGGAUUUGAAGCUGAACAAUGCAAAGAGUGGCGAACGGGUGAGUAACACGUGGGAAACCUACCUCUUAGCGGGGGAUAACACUUGGAAACAAGUGCUAAUACCGCAUAAUACUGAUAACCGCAUGGUUUAUCAGUUGAAAUAUGGUUCUGCUAUCACUAAGAGAUGGUCCCGCGGUGUAUUAGCUAGUUGGUAAGGUAACGGCUUACCAUGGCAAUGAUACACAGCCGAGUUGAGAGACUGAUC